GGACGAACGCUGGCGGCGUGCUCAACACAUGCAAGUCGAACGGAAAGGCCCUGCUUUUGUGGGGUGCUCGAGUGGCGAACGGGUGAGUAACACGUGAGUAACCUGCCCUUGACUUUGGGAUAACUUCAGGAAACUGGGGCUAAUACCGGAUAGGAGCUCCUGCUGCAUGGUGGGGGUUGGAAAGUUUCGGCGGUUGGGGAUGGACUCGCGGCUUAUCAGCUUGUUGGUGGGGUAGUGGCUUACCAAGGCUUUGACGGGUAGCCGGCCUGAGAGGGUGACCGGCCACAUUGGGACUGAGAUACGGCCCAGACUCCUACGGGAGGCAGCAGUGGGGAAUAUUGCACAAUGGGCGGAAGCCUGAUGCAGCAACGCCGCGUGCGGGAUGACGGCCUUCGGGUUGUAAACCGCUUUCGCCUGUGACGAAGCGUGAGUGACGGUAAUGGGUAAAGAAGCACCGGCUAACUACGUG
rnacentral:rRNA from 1 species